GCUGGGCGUGGUGGCACAUGCUUGUAAUCCCAGUGGCUUGGGAGGCUGAGACAGGAGGAUGGUGGGUUCAAAGCCAGCUUCAGUAAUGGCAAGGUGCUAAGCAACUCAGUGAGAUCCUGUCUCUA
rnacentral:sRNA from 1 species